rnacentral:rRNA from 1 species
GUACGUAGGGUGCAAGCGUUAUCCGGAAUUAUUGGGCGUAAAGAGCUCGUAGGCGGUCUGUCGCGUCUGCUGUGAAAUCUGGGGGCUCAACCCCCAGCCUGCAGUGGGUACGGGCAAACUAGAGUAUUGCAGGGGAGACUGGAAUUCCUGGUGUAGCGGUGAAAUGCGCAGAUAUCAGGAGGAACACCGGUGGCGAAGGCGGGUCUCUGGGCCGAUACUGACGCUGAGGAGCGAAAGCGUGGGGAGCGAACAGG